rnacentral:lncRNA from 1 species
AUCACCAGGUGUGCUGGGACCAAGUCUCACACAUAUGAUGAAUCAUGGCACAGGAUCGAAUGUCACAUCUUUACUAUAUAAUAGGAGUUUUGUACAAAAUAAAUAAAUAAUUACAUUAUAAGGAGACAACGGUCCAGCAACCCAAAGUUGACUGGGAGACGACGGCCUAGACCUCUCACGAACACAUCGCAGCAUCCUCCAUGUGUCAUCCUACGGUACCUGUUCUUGACCUGUGGGGGGGGUGUGAGACAGCAAGAGUGAGCUCACAUACGUUCAUCGCUCAACAAGUUGUGGGGAAUAAAGUGCAUGAACUCGCCAAAGGUGGGAGCUCACGUGAAGUGUAAGGCUUACCAAAGAGGAUGGUUAGAGCUGAGCAUUGCUUUUAAAGUUGGUCAAAAUUUUAUUAGCAGUUACUAAGUAUAAGUAAAUACCAACCCAAUUAAGUAGUAGAGCAAAAGUAACAUCAUCACCUGCGAUGCAAUGCAUAUGACAAAUUGAAUUUAGUUCCAUAAAUUAAUCAUCAGAGAGUCCUGAGCUGCUCAUGACCGUGAGCUCGGCUAGUAUACCAGUUUUACACUCUGCAGAGGUGGUACCCUUUACCCACAAGUCAUGUUACCCGUCUGCCAAGGGAUCGCGACUUCCCAUACACCUCUACCGAGGAGGCGAGGCAGGGUAACACUACGAGGCCUUUACAAAGUUCCACUAGCUUCAGAAAACCCGCUACAGUUUAUAGGAAGCUCCAAUGCAGGAAUCCCUUGCAGGACCGCCAUCGCAGCAAAAUCCUCCCGAGGGCCUCCCUACACUGACCACUCCCCUACUGCCCUUGCCCCUUUCGGGUAAGGUAGUCCUCCACUAGCUUUCCUAAUUAAUCAGCCAAGGGCGUCCAUAAACCCUUGUGGUGGCACGUGUUUCUCAAGUUAAGCUCUAUGUUCCAAUUAACAUUUAAUGAUCUUGUCAUGAACAUAAAUAGAAUAACAACAUAAUUGGAACAUAGAUGUAAUGAAAUAUUAACCCAAAACCAUAUAAAGCAGUAGCAGAACUACCCAAGUGAUUCAGGGGUAAACAAGGUAUUCAGGAUGAACAAACUAGGGUGACCUAUUGGGUCCCAUCAAAAUUAACCUAUGCAGAUCAUUAUGAUUAAUCAGAACAUGAGUAGGUAAAAAGAAGUGAUCAAGGGCACAACUUGCCUGACACUUGAGAUUCCAGGUACCAACUUGCUCUUCGGAUGACACGUGUCCUCGCGCUAGUCGUAGCAAUACAAACAAAUAUGGUAUAGAUAAAACUAACAUCACACCAAGCAUAAGUACAAACUGAAUAAUAAUGAUCUACGCGUUUCUACGAGACUAACGCAACUUGAACGGAUCAAAUCAGAGUUAAAACGGGGAAGAUACGAAUUUCCUAAUGUUUUAUGUAUUUGAUAUGGAUUUAAUUAGGAAAUAAAUUUUAAGGUGGCUUUCGUGUCAAAUUAGUGGCACUAUUAGAUAAACAAUAAUAUUAUAAAAUUAUAGGAACUGGAAUGACUCAAUUUGGAAUUAGUAUGAAUUUUCUACGGAUUAAACAAAUUCUAGCCAUUAUUUUUAUAUUAAAAAUCCAUUUUCUAUUUAUUUCCCUGGAUUUUCUAUUUACUGGACUGGGCCUCAAUUACUGGUAAGUUCAGGGGCUAACCCGCAAGAUCUCCAAGACACAGCGCCAUCCGCGCUGGACCGCGGGUUGAAUCUCAAUAAACCCAGGGCCCAUAUGCAAAACAGACCCGACGAAGGGGUAUCAGCCAGAUCUGGCCGUCCGAUCCCCAACAGACGGUGCAGAUUAGAUUUGAAUUUUUCAGAAAGGGUAUGAAAUAUAAGGCCUUGGAUCCAGAUCUAACGGUCUGAGUUUUAUGAAAUCUAAUCCAGAUCCGAACCGCACGAUUGCGAUCCAACCGCCCGAAUUCCGCGGGGUGAAGGUGUACGCAGAAUUUAAUCCACUCCCUCCGUUUAGAAUCCUACGGCCCCGGCUUCUAUAACAUGUCUUCUAAUCCUAACCAGUCAUCGCGAGAUCAAGGGCUCUGCGUUCGUCUUCUUCCUUUCGUCAACCCGGCAGUAGUUGCAAGUGCCAGGAAACCCAGCAUGGUGAACGGUGAGCUAGCUACUCGUCGGUACGGGUCGACGUGCGAAUAUAACUCACGUACUGAGAAAGUAAUGGUGGUUUGCAGGGGAGUUAUCAUACCGUGUUUCACGGCGCAAGUACAGUCGUCUAGAAGUCUGCAGCACGACGGCGAUCCUUCAAUGUCGACAACGAAGCACUCGCACAAUCUUCAACGCUCGGCGAAGAGGCCCGGUCCGCUCCUCAUCGCACGCACAGGAAGUACCUGGACGUCCAGUGCGUGACUUGUCGAACACCCUCUCGGCAACAACACUCACGUUCUCUCUCUUCAUCCUUUGUUUCUCUCGGCGGCUGUGAAUAUGACGGCGCACGCCCGGUGCUUUUCUCCAGGGCGACCGAGACGGCAACUGCCAGGACCAAGAGAUUUAUGGGGGCGCGCAGGGCGGUAGCGCCGGAAAUCCGGUUCUCCGUUUUGGUCGGCGCCCACAUCCCGGAAAUACGCGUAUGCGUAUUCGCAGUGGCCCAGCCGUCAGGGACAGUGAAAGGUAUACGGAUGAGGUCACCUGUGACGCCCGGCCGACGUCACCCACGCAGGAAACUAUUCUUUAUUCGGCUGGAGCGGUCCUCGGCGGGAGAAUAGCUGCAGGAGGAAGCCACCUGGGCCGGCUGUUACGGGGAGGUGGUUACGGCAUGCAUGGAUUUGUUACGGGGAGGAAGACGCGGUUGACAUCAGAGCCUAUAAACUAGUUACCCGCGCAGAGCUUCGUACGUGAUUCUAUCGUCCACAUGUCGGUGACUACGUAGAAGUAGACGUGUGCAUGGAAAUACGGCUGCAUGUGUUGCUUGCUUGAUGUCACACUUGUGUCAUGCUGACCUCAUGUGCGGCAAGAGGAUUAAAUAAAAGAAAAGAAGAGAUGUGGGCUACGGAAUACCUUGGGCUGGGUGGGAGGUGAUCUGGCCCAAGCGCAGGAUUGCUCCUCUUUUUUUUCUAUUUUAAAUUUCUUGUUUUAGUUUCCUUCACAUUUUCAGAUUCCUAUUUCAAAUUCAAAAUUGAUUCAACUUCAAUUUUGCCAGUACAAAAGCUAAUACUAAUGUGACCUCUACCAUUUUCAGUAUUAUUAUUUAUUUUUUUCCUUGUUGUUUAUUUAGGGAAGGAAUAAAUAGCUUCAUUAAAUUCCCCUUUCUUAUUUUAUAUUUAUAUCUUCGUUUAUACUUUGAGGUCAAAAUUAUGUGUUUAAUAAAGUACCUCCCACAAAGUCAUCAGUAAGAGAUGCACUUUUCAUUAUUUAUUUAUUGGUUGCUUAAUUAAUUUAGUACCAUUAAUUGAUUAUGAGAAGAAAAUAUCCAAAUGUAUUUUCCAAGGGAUUCAACAAUUCUCAAAACACUAUGAUAAAUAUAUUUGUUUAUUUAUUUAUUUAUUUAUUUUAUACCCAAUUUUAGGGCCUUACAAAUCCUACCACCUUAAAAAUAAUCUCGUCCUCGAGAUUUGUACGGACAUGGAUGUAAAAGAAAACUUUUUUAUAGUUUAGCUUUUAACUUCUAAGAAGUGUCAUGUUAUUUAGAAAGUGGUUAUGAAAGCAUGGGUAUAUAUAUGUAUGGUCACCUUAUUGUGUAGGAUGAAAGAUAGGUUAGGGCAAGCAUAGCCUAGGGUGAGAAGGUUUAUAGUGGGAAAGAAUUCUGUGUUGAGUGGUAAAGCAUUAGAAGAUUGAGUUUGACUUCUCUCCUUCCUUGACGAGGUUGAUCUUUUCUUCUCCAGUCUUGGUCUCCUUGAUUCGAGGUUAGUGUAUAUCAUCGGAGUUGGGGCAUAUGGUCGAAGUAGUUAUGGGUGAGAUGGACUACAUGUUGUAGGUCAAAAUCUUGUUUGAUGUUUGGUAGGCACAGAUAGAUUAUGCAAUCCAUCAUGACUCUAUUGGUUGGGUUAGAUCUAUUAGGAUGACAUAAAAUCUUUUCAAGAUAAGAUGAAUCCUCUAAGGUAAUAGAGUAUAUUUUUAAGAUAAGAUGGAUCUAUUAAGCUUACUAUAUUUUAGUGGGGGAUAAUCUAAGUUGCCUAGUUUUUGUAUCAACAUUUUUUUAUUUACUAUAUGUAUAUAUAGAUGUAAUUGUGGACAUUACUCCACAACUCAUCGCACUCAAUCAAAGAUCCAAAUCAGACAAGCAUCAUAAGAACAAACAUUCAAGUUCAUAGAUAUCUAUAUAACAGAAAAUAAUUUUGUUUUUGUUCCUAAGAGUAGGUCACCUAUUCCUAAAGUCACUUUAAGAACAGGAUUUCAAAGUGUGAAACCCACAUUUGUCUUUAGAAUGAAAAGGUAAGAAUAAUCAGAGUGAAGCGGAAUUAGAUGAGAAAAGAUUAAGAUGAGUUUAGAAAGAGUCAGAGUAGCAGAGGUAAGGUUAAUCAGAGUAGAACAGUAGAAGGUGAAACAGGAUCAAGAUAAGUAUAGAAAGAAUCAGAGUAAGGUAAGUAGACAAUGGUUGUCCAUUUCUAUCUAGGUUUCGUCCUACAGUCAACAUUCCUCUGAUACCACUUCUGUCACACCCGGAUUUUAGGGGUCCAAAACCCGGGCGCGAACAUAAUCACCAGGUGUGCUGGGACCAAGUCUCACACAUAUGAUGAAUCAUGGCACAGGAUCGAAUGUCACAUCUUUACUAUAUAAUAGGAGUUUUGUACAAAAUAAAUAAAUAAUUACAUUAUAAGGAGACAACGGUCCAGCAACCCAAAGUUGACUGGGAGACGACGGCCUAGACCUCUCACGAACACAUCGCAGCAUCCUCCAUGUGUCAUCCUACGGUACCUGUUCUUGACCUGUGGGGGGGGUGUGAGACAGCAAGAGUGAGCUCACAUACGUUCAUCGCUCAACAAGUUGUGGGGAAUAAAGUGCAUGAACUCGCCAAAGGUGGGAGCUCACGUGAAGUGUAAGGCUUACCAAAGAGGAUGGUUAGAGCUGAGCAUUGCUUUUAAAGUUGGUCAAAAUUUUAUUAGCAGUUACUAAGUAUAAGUAAAUACCAACCCAAUUAAGUAGUAGAGCAAAAGUAACAUCAUCACCUGCGAUGCAAUGCAUAUGACAAAUUGAAUUUAGUUCCAUAAAUUAAUCAUCAGAGAGUCCUGAGCUGCUCAUGACCGUGAGCUCGGCUAGUAUACCAGUUUUACACUCUGCAGAGGUGGUACCCUUUACCCACAAGUCAUGUUACCCGUCUGCCAAGGGAUCGCGACUUCCCAUACACCUCUACCGAGGAGGCGAGGCAGGGUAACACUACGAGGCC